rnacentral:rRNA from 1 species
CAGUAGCCGCGGUAAUACGUAGGUGGCAAGCGCUGUCCGGAAUUAUUGGGCGUAAAGGGCUCGCAGGCGGUUUCUUAAGUCUGAUGUGAAAGCCCCCGGCUCAACCGGGGAGGGUCAUUGGAAACUGGGAAACUUGAGUGCAGAAGAGGAGAGUGGAAUUCCACGUGUAGCGGUGAAAUGCGUAGAGAUGUGGAGGAACACCAGUGGCGAAGGCGACUCUCUGGUCUGCAACUGACGCUGAGGAGCGAAAGCGUGGGGAGCGAACAGGAUUAGAUACCCCCGUAGUCCCUGUCUCUUAUAC